rnacentral:rRNA from 1 species
GACGAACGCUGGCGGCGUGCUUAACACAUGCAAGUCGUACGGUAAGGCCCUUUCGGGGGUACCCGAGUGGCGAACGGGUGAGUAACACGUGAGUAACCUGCCCACAACUUUGGGAUAACGCUAGGAAACUGGUGCUAAUACUGGAUAUGUGCUCCUGCUGCAUGGUGGGGGUUGGAAAGCUCCGGCGGUUGUGGAUGGACUCGCGGCCUAUCAGCUUGUUGGUGGGGUAGUGGCCUACCAAGGCGGCGACGGGUAGCCGGCCUGAGAGGGUGACCGGCCACAGUGGGACUGAGAUACGGCCCAGACUCCUACGGGAGGCAGCAGUGGGGAAUAUUGCACAAUGGGCGCAAGCCUGAUGCAGCAACGCCGCGUGCGGGAUGACGGCCUUCGGGUUGUAAACCGCUUUCAGCAGGGACGAAGCUUUUUGUGACGGUACCUGCAGAAGAAGCACCGGCUAACUACGUG